rnacentral:rRNA from 1 species
UACAGAGGUCUCAAGCGUUGUUCGGAUUCAUUGGGCGUAAAGGGUGUGUAGGUGGCGCCGUAAGUCGGGUGUGAAAUUUCGGAGCUUAACUCCGAAACUGCAUUCGAUACUGCGUGCUUGAGGACUGGAGAGGAGACUGGAAUUCAUGGUGUAGCAGUGAAAUGCGUAGAGAUCAUGAGGAAGACCAGUGGCGAAGGCGGGUCUCUGGACAGUUCCUGACACUGAGGCACGAAGGCCAGGGGAGCAAACGGG